GAGGAAGUAAAAGUCGUAACAAGGUCUCCGUUGGUGAACCAGCGGAGGGAUCAUUACAGAGUGUAAAAACUCCCAAACCCUUUGUGAACAUACCACUGUUGCCUCGGCGGAGCUGCCCGGUAGCUACCCUGUAGCUACCCUGCAGCCGCCGGUGGACCAUCAAACUCUGAUUAUAUAGAUAUCUGAGCGUACUUUUAAAUAAGUCAAAACUUUCAACAACGGAUCUCUUGGUUCUGGCAUCGAUGAAGAACGCAGCGAAAUGCGAUAAGUAAUGUGAAUUGCAGAAUUCAGUGAAUCAUCGAAUCUUUGAACGCACAUUGCGCCCAUUAGUACUCUAGUGGGCAUGCCUGUUCGAGCGUCAUUACGACCCUUAAGCCUAGCUUAGUAUUGGGAACCUACGUGCGGCAGCUACCCUGUAGCUACCCUGUAGCUCCUUAAAGACAACGGCGGAGACGUGGAGUCCUCUGAGCUUAGUAACUUUUCUAGCUUCUGAAGGCGCCGCGGCCCCUGCCGUAAAACCCCCAACUCUUUAGUGGUUGACCUCGGAUCAGGUAGGAAUACCCGCUGAACUUAAGCAUAUCAAUAAGCGGAGG
rnacentral:rRNA from 1 species